AAUGGGCGAAASUGACCCAGCAACGCCGCGUGAAGGAUGAAAUCCCUCGGGAUGUAAACUUCGCAAGAACGGGGAGAAUAAGUCUAAGUUAAUACCUUAGGCGAUGACGGUACCGUUUGUAAGCUCCGGCUAACUCCGUGCCAGCAGCCGCGGUAAUACGGGGGGAGCAAGCGUUGUUCGGAUUUACUGGGCGUAAAGGGCGCGUAGGCGGCCUCCGCAAGUCAAUUGUGAAAUCUCCGGGCUUAACUCGGAAAGGUCAACUGAUACUGCGGGGCUAGAGUGCGGAAGGGGCAACUGGAAUUCUCGGUGUAGCGGUGAAAUGCGUAGAUAUCGAGAGGAACACCUGCGGCGAAGGCGGGUUGCUGGGCCGACACUGACGCUGAGGCGCGAAAGCUAGGGGGAGCGAACGGGAUUAGAUACCCCGGUAGUCCUAGCCUUAAACGAUGAAUGCUUGGUGUCUGGGGUUACAAGGUCCCCGGGUGCCGUCGCUAACGCUUUAAGCAUUCCGCCUGGGGAGUACGGUCGCAAGACUG
rnacentral:rRNA from 1 species